rnacentral:rRNA from 1 species
GUUUAGUGGCGGACGGGUGAGUAACGCGUGAGUAACCUGCCUUUCACAGGGGGAUAACGUUUGGAAACGAACGCUAAUACCGCAUAACACAGCAGAGUCGCAUGGCUCAGCUGUCAAAGAUUUUAUCGGUGAAAGAUGGACUCGCGUCCGAUUAGGUAGUUGGUGAGGUAACGGCUCACCAAGCCGACGAUCGGUAGCCGGACUGAGAGGUUGAACGGCCACAUUGGGACUGAGACACGGCCCAGACUCC